AAUCUACCUUUGGGACAGGGAUAACACUCCGAAAGGGGUGCUAAUACCUGAUACGAUGCGAAUUUCAGAAGGAGUUUGCAUGAAAGGUGACCUCUUCCUUGAAAGUUGCCGCUCGAAGAUGAGCCCGCGUCCCAUUAGCUUGUUGGUGGGGUAAUGGCCUACCAAGGCGAAGAUGGGUAGCUGGUCUGAGAGGAUGAUCAGCCACACUGGAACUGAGACACGGUCCAG
rnacentral:rRNA from 1 species